GGUUGAUCCUGCCAGUAGUCAUAUGCUUGUCCCAAAGAUUAAGCCAUGCAUGUGCAAGUAUAAACCAAUUUAUACGGUGAAACUGCGAAUGGCUCAUUAAAUCAGUUAUAAUUUAUUUGAAGGUCAAUUUACUAAUUGGAUAACCGUGGUAAUUCUAGAGCUAAUACAUGCAAAAGACCUGACCGUGAGGGAGGGUUGUAUUUAUUGGGUAAAAGCCAACGUCGAAAGACUAUUUUGGUGAUUCACGAUAACUGAGCGGAUCGCAAUAUUGCGACGCUUCAUUCAAAUUU
rnacentral:rRNA from 1 species